rnacentral:misc_RNA from 1 species
CCUUGUAACGAUUGACAAGGUUCUUCCACUUACACUUGCACUGGUCAGGGGUCCUACGGUAUCCUCUUUCUCUCAUAUUUGCACUCACAAUCUCCCAAAGCGCCUUGUUCCUCUUCGCAACAGUGAAAUCUUUCUCCAGCUCCGCCCGAAUCCCAAUCAAGUCCUUUGUCUCUUGUUCAGUCCACUGUUGUUGCUGCUGUGGGAGCUUCUCUUUUGACGCCAACGGAGAGAUUUCCGUCCCCGGACUCAGCACUGUUGAUGCCGCCACCAUGCUUAUCGGCCGGAGGGAAUCGCUGUUCACGCCGCUAAACAUCGCAACAUUAGCGUCUAGGGCUUCGUAUUAUGGCUUUUCCAGAUCCCUCUGUGCGUCAC